rnacentral:lncRNA from 1 species
AUAUAUAGAGUUAGGCUCCUUUCGAAAGUACGGAAGCCUCCGUACUUGUAAGUUGUUUUCAAUAAUGGGACAUCCGAUUUGGCGAUCGGUUCCGUUAGACAUGAUGUACGCUGUUGGAACUAUCUAGGAACCAAAUUUCAUAAUUUUUUGAUUUUGUUUGUUUAGUAAACGAGUAGCCUCAAAAUAAACGGCUGAAAAUGAAAAUCUCAUAAAAAACAGUGAUAAAGGACUCAAAUUUCAAAUCGGAAGUAUUGGUCUUACUAUUGAUGUUAAGUAAAAUUUUCUAUUAAAUUUUUAUCUAAUUUGGAUACUUCUACACCGUUGAACUUAAAAACGUGCCACAUCGGCCAUUAAAAUAGUCAUUUUUGAGACCUUUUGAUCGCUUGGUAAAUAAUGUCAAAAAAUUAUAAAAUUUGAUUUCUAAAUAGUUUCAAUAUGGUAGAUUAUACUUAACGGAGCCGAUCGUUGAAUCAGAUUUUCUAUCAUCGAAAACAACUUACAAGCAUGGAGGUCUCCGUACUUUCAAAAGUAUAGGAAACUUACUCUCUCUCUCUCUCUCUCUCUCUCUCUCUAUAUAUAUAUAUAUAUAUAUAU